UCCCAUGUGGCUCAGUUGGUAGAGCAUGGUGUUUGCAACGCCAGGGUUGUGGGUUCGAUUCCCACGGGGGAC
rfam:Salmo salar isolate Sally breed double haploid chromosome ssa06, whole genome shotgun sequence.